UUUGAGUCCUCAGCCAGAAGUCCUGCAACUGUUACACAAGACCCAGAGGCAAAUGUGUGGUUUGCUGUGAGAACGUAGUCCGAUCAGGGAACAGCCUGUUGAGGAAGGAGUCUUGGGCCUCAAGACACGUGAAAUGAUCCCUGACUGCAUGUGACAAGCUCUGAAAGCCAGAAAGGAAGUGUCAGACUGCAGAGCAGGAAGAAUCAGAAGUGAAAGAACAUGCAUCUGAUAACUCAAAAUGUGAUUGAAAUGGUGUGCCCAAUCAACAACAAAGAACCUCUGAAAAAAGAAUUGGCAUUUGAAAAGAAUUUGGAGAACUUCAUCAGAGCAGAACUUGAAUUAAAGUGACAGAUAACAUGCAUCUUUCUGAAGUACCAUGCUAUCAUAUAACUUUUGAUAAAUAUAGGUCUUUGUUUUGGCUUUUGUGAAGUCACAUGACUUUUAAUUCCUCUCUCUUACUGAAGCUGCAAUGAUUAAAAGAUUAUAAUUGAAAGUGGAAGCAAUAAACCUCUCCAUAAAUCUUCUUUAAACUUACAGAUGUAACUAUCCUGAGGUCUUACUUAAUGCAAAAUACUUAAUACAAAAAAUUCCACUAAGGCCUUGAGCCAUAAAAAGUAGGUAUUUUCACACGAUUCCUUUGUAGACACUAAAUCUAAUUAAUUGAUUUAUAGUUCUAGAGCAGCUUCUUACUGGAAAUCUAAAGAAACUCAGAGAGUGAAUGAAACUUGACAAAUAACAGCAUUUUCAAGACAGUUUUGUGCAAAGAAUUUAUUCUUUCACAACAAAGGGCCAUAAAGAGCAUCCUUUUCUUUAGUAUGAUAAAUUAUCUUUCUGUAAUAAUAAUAAAAAAAUCACAUUGCUGUGUUCCUUUAAGUUACAUUACUAAGUAAGUGCUAAUUAUUCCCUUUGCCAUUGUCUGAACAUCCUGAGCCAUUUACAACAGAAAUGGAGAAGCUGCUUGAAUAAAUGUUCUGUGUUUAAAUCACUGAGAAGGUAGUUAAAAAGCCAAAAGGAGUCCUUUUCAUGUGGGCGUGCUUAUAGACCAUAUCCCUUUGCAGUAAAUGGAGA
rnacentral:lncRNA from 1 species